rnacentral:rRNA from 1 species
CUGACUGCUAUCGGAUUGAUACUAAGCCAUGCGAGUCAUUGUAGCAAUACAAGGCAUACGGCUCAGUAACGCGUAGUCAACCUAACCUAUGGACGGGAAUAACCUCGGGAAACUGAGAAUAAUGCCCGAUAGAACAUUAUGCCUGGAAUGGUUUAUGUUCCAAAUGAUUUAUCGCCGUAGGAUGGGACUGCGGCCUAUCAGUUUGUUGGUGAGGUAAUGGCCCACCAAGACUAUUACAGGUACGGGCUCUGAGAGGAGUAGCCCGGAGAUGGGUACUGAGACACGGACCCAGGCCCUAUGGGGCGCAGCAGGCGAGAAAACUUUGCAACGUGCGAAAGCACGACAAGGUUAAUCCGAGUGGUUUCUGCUAAAGGAACCUUUUGUCAGUCCUAGAAACACUGAUGAAUAAGGGGUGGGCAAGUCUGGUGUCACCCGCCGCGGUAAAACCAGCACCUCAAGUGGUCAGGAUGAUUAUUGGGCCUAAAGCAUCCGUAGCCGGCUCUGUAAGUUUUCGGUUAAAUCUGUACGCUCAACGUACAGGCUGCCGGGAAUACUGCAGAGCUAGGGAGUGGGAGAGGUAGACGGUACUCGGUAGGAAGGGGUAAAAUCCUUUGAUCUAUUGAUGACCACCUGUGGCGAAGGCGGUCUACCAGAACACGUCCGACGGUGAGGGAUGAAAGCUGGGGGAGCAAACCGGAUUAGAUACCCGGGUAGUCCCAGCUGUAAACUAUGCAAACUCAGUGAUGCAUUGGCUUGUGGCCAAUGCAGUGCUGCAGGGAAGCCGUUAAGUUUGCCGCCUGGGAAGUACGUACGCAAGUAUGAAACUUAAAGGAAUUGGCGGGGGAGCACCACAAGGGGUGAAGCUCGG